AUUGAACGCUGGCGGCAGGCCUAACACAUGCAAGUCGAGCGAGCGGCGGACGGGGGAGUAAUGUAUGGGGACUGCCCGAUAGAGGGGGAUAACUACUGGAAACGGUAGCUAAUACCGCAUACUAUCGGAUAACCCAUAUGGGAUUAGCUAGGAGGGGAGGUAAUGGCUCACCUAGGCGACGAUCCCGAGCUGGUCUGAGAGGAGGAUCAGCCACACUGGGACGGAGACCGGGCCCAGACGCCGACGGAGGCAGCAGUGGGGAUUAUUGAACAAGGGGCGCAAGCCUGAGGAAGCCAGGCCGCGGGUAUGAAGAAGCCCCUAGGGGUGUAAAGUACUUUCAGUCGGGAGGCGUUACCGACAGAAGAAGCACCGGCUAACUCCGUGCCAGCCGCCGCGGUAAUAC
rnacentral:rRNA from 1 species